CUCUGCGCAAGAGAUCUUUUGGUUCGCUAGACGAAGAAGGGCGCAGCGGAAUGCGAAAUGUGCAGGAGUCGCAGCGAAGAUAGCACAUGCCUGAAAUCACGAGAGUGUGAGACUACCCCUUUGAAUUAAGCAUAUGAGUAAAGGGAGGAAAAGAAACUAACAAGGAUUCCUGUAGUAGCGGCGAGCGAAGAAGGAACAGCCCCGAGUGUAAUCACCAAUAUGUGAGAUGUCAUUAAUCUAUAGAACGAUGUUGAAACUUCGGCCUGAGAGGGUGAUAGCCCCGUAAAAUAGAUGUAACAAGGGAGUAGCA
rnacentral:rRNA from 1 species